rnacentral:pre_miRNA from 1 species
UGUUCCUAUAUAUCUGUCCACUUAGAGUUUCAAGAGAGCAUUAAUUUAUGUUUUUCCAAGAAAUGCCUUUCCAGAACCAAUAAAUGAAGAAAGAUAAAAUCCCUUCUAAAGGGUUAUAUAGGAAAACAUUUAUGAAAAUCAACACAAUUAAUUGCUUUCCUUAAUUUGUGUGAACCUUCUCUUCCUGGACAGAUAAAUAGGAACGG